CCAUGACCUGAGCCGAAGGCAGACGCUCAACCGACUGAGCCACCCAGCUGCCCCUGAUGUAAUUUUUAUAAAGAGUGUCAGGAUCCUCAGAAAACAGGCAUUGGUAGGAGUUGAUGAUGAUAGUAGCUCGGUCAGUGCCAAGACUAAGCUAAGUACUUGACAGCCGGGCUGGGUGGCAUAACUUACUCCCAUUUUAUAGAUGAGGAGCUGGGCUCCUGACACAGCUUCAAAGGGUGACAUUCAAGAAGCCCCUUGUAUAUUGCAAAUCAGAGAAGCUGGGGUAAACUCAGGAGCCCUAGAGGCCAAGCAAAUUCCCAAAAUGAGUUAUUUGGGAGAGAAAAACCUGAUGAUAUGACAAAAGGCAAGACAGUGUGUUUUCAAAUUGGUCACAAACGAUGCUCCAGAUUCCUGCUUCUACAGUUAUCCAAAUAACAGAAGCAAAACCACCCCGAAUGUUGAGGUGAAAAUUCACUUGGGUGUUUAUUGCUACAUUCACUUAAACUGUUCCUCAAAAAUCCACAUGUUUCUUUUUCUUCCUGGUUUUUAAAAUUUAUUUAUUUAUUUAUUUAUUUACUGUUUAUAACGAUUUUAUUUUAUUUUAUUUUUUUAAAGAUUUUAUUUAUUUAUUCAUGAGAGACAGAGAGAGAGACAGAGGCAGAGGGAGAAGCAGGCUCCCCGCGGAGCAGGGAGCCCAAUGCGGGACUCGAUCCCAGGACGCUGGGAUCAGGACCUGAGCCGAAGGCAGACGCUUAACCGACUGAGCCACCCAGGCGUCCCAUUAACGAUUUUAUUUAUUUGAGUGAGAGAGAGCAGGAGAGACAGCAAGCAGAGGGGAGCAGCAGAGGGAGAGGGAGAAGCAGGCUUCCCGCUGAGCCGGGAGCCAGACGCGGGGGCUCGAUCCCAGGAUGCUGGGAUCAUGACCUGAGCUGAAGGCAGACGCUGGAUGGACUGAGCCACCCAGGUGCCCCUGGUUUUAUUUAUUUUGAUGUUAAUGCACAGCUGCGCUGUUCUGUCAACAUGGUGCACUGCUUCUUUAGUUUUAUCAAACAGCAAGCUGGCUUAGUCAAGAGUGUAGCGUCACGGAGCCAAGGCGGGUUAGUUAGAGCGUCGUUGCUUGAAGGCUGAUGUCGCCAGAGGGAUCAAAGCACUCAGGGAUGAUCUGAUGCCUUGGCUUCCUAUGGGCUCUGCCUCGCCUGAAAGGCUCUUGUAGCUCUCCUUCCUGUGAUGGGGAAAUACCCCAGGGCGUCAGGAAAUUCCUGCCCGGGCAGGGAGCUGACUUCCCGGGGAGUCUAAGCCCAGUCCCCGGCCGCCAAUCAGCAGCGGCGCUGCCUCCAACGGACGAGCAGAACGAAGCCCAACAAAUGCAGCUGGAACUUGAACAAACAGAUUUGGGAGACCGUGGUGUCUGUUUGACAGCUGACGCCCAGGGCUUGCUGGUUCACCUCUGUGAGCCUUAGCUGUGCCAUCAUAGGGAGGACGGACGUCUUCCCUCAGCCAGGAAUGAGGAAUGGACGUGCAAGCACCGAGUGAACAGAAAGGCACCACAAGAACGUGAAAUAUGGGUAAGAUAUUAUUUCAAAACUCCUUGUUAAGGCACCCAAAUGCUGGGGGCAAGACGAAGGAGGGGCAAAACAAAGGAAAGGAUGAUAUUUGGCAAUCGCAGGGACUGGAAAAAGCCCAAAUACUGUAGGAGAGGAGAAAAGAACUUGGGGCUCCUUCUCCGGGACCAGAGGGUAGGACCGACUUGGGCGAUCACAGCGAUUUAAAAUACUUCUCCCUUUUGCUUUGCCUAAAUUGAGAAACAAGUUAAGCCCACCCAUCAGGAGGAAAUGAAACGAAAUGAAACAAAUGUCAAAACAUCACCUCUCAAAUUUCACGAAGGGAAAUGGUAUAGUUACAACACAAUGCUGGGUCAAAGUUUAUGGGAUCUGGAACCCAAAUGUGCUGGUGGAACUCAGGUCACCAUCAGUUUCAUUAAUGGUUAACCAUUUAGUCAAAGAGACUUUUUUUUUCCCACUAGAAGAAAUACUCUAAGAAAUUCAUCACCCCCACCGCCACUUACCCAACAUACUAUGUUAGCAUCUAUUAGCAUGUGCCAAGCCCUCGUCUAGAUACGUACCCUAUCUUUUCAUUUCUUAUGACGACCAUGCAAGGUAAAUCUUUGUGGAUAACCACAUGAGGGUCACGUUUAGCAGUUUGUUCUUUCUGGUUCUUUGUUUCCUCGUCCAUAAAAUGAGAAUAAUGUUACAGCCAGAGCAGUUUAGCAGCUCACCCCUAGUCACACAGUUGGUAAGUAGUAACGUCAGGAUUUGAACUCAGGUCUCACUCCAGAGCUCUGCACCAGAACACCACACUACACUGGCGAAGACACUAUUGCUGAGAAGCUUCUGAAACACAAUUGGUAAUGACUAUUUCGCUCUGGGAGCAAUUUGAAUGAGCAGUUGGUAAAUUGCUUUAUCAUGACGUUGCAUGAUGUCCCAUUGACAUGCAGUGGGGAAGAACGAUGAAUACCCUGAGUAUCUUAGCAGGGAUCUGGCUCUAAAGUUGGAUGAAACCCCCAAGCACAGAGUAUGAAAAUGCUUGGCUGUGUUAUGUAUGUGUGUGUGUGUGUGUGUGUGUGUGUGUGUUGUGCAUCUUGUAUGUUUUAUUCUCUCUGUGUUGUAUGUUGUAUGUGUUGUGGAUGUCUUACGUGUGUUGUGUGUGUAUUACAUGUGUAUGAGUGGGUUGUGGAAGUGAAGGAGACUUGCCUGAUUGAUUUCUUCAACACUGAAGACCAGACAUUCCAACAGCCAACGCUUACAUGGUGCUCGCUCUGAGCCACGCGCUCCUCUCAGUGCUUCCCAUGUAAUAACUCAUUCAUCUUUGCAACAGUCCUGUGCCGUGGCUACUAACAGUAUCCUCAGUGUAUGAAUAAGGAAGUGGAGGCACAGAAGGAUCAAUCAACUUACCCAACAGUAAAAGGUGGAGCUGGGUUGGAACCCAGGGAGAUUGGCUUCAAAUUCUGUGGUCUUUUUUUUUUUCCUUUUCUUCCUUCUUUCUUUUUUAAAAAGAUUUUAUUUAUUUGAGAGAGAGACAGAGAUAGCAAGAGCUAGCAGGAGUGGGGAGGAGAGGGAGAAGCAGGCUUCCCACUGAGCAGGGAGCCCGAUGUGGGACUCGAUCCCAGGACCCUGGGAUCACGACCUGAGCUGAAGGCAGACGCUGAACCGACUGAGCCACCCAGGCGCCCCUAACUGGUGCUCCCAGAUCACCAUGUGGAAGGUGAUAGAAUUAUUCUCCUUAUUCUGUGGCUGGCAAGCCUGUGAACCAUGUGAACACAUGUUGGCUGAGACAGGCAGCACCCUCUAAUUAAAUAUUAGCCGAGGCAAGCCAGCCAUUGCUGGCCUUGUAGUGCGUGUGUGAUUUCUAUCAAUUUAAUGAUUAUUAAGAAUUGAAAAGGACUGUUGUCAAAAUCUUACAUUUCACGCUUGUGAAAUCUGUACAGACAAAAUGGUUUUAUUGAUUUGUUUCCUCUGAAACCGCGGGCUACCUAGAGAUGACCAGUAUCUAUGGAUCAGAUGUUCUCUGGCAUGUGAGGACAGACUGUGAUUUAUUUGAGAUAGGAUGGCAUUCCAUCUUUUGUCUUUCUUUAAUUGUCUUCCUGGUGCCUGUCACUUUGAAGUUGGGAAUAACAGAAAAAGGUCUUUGGUAAUGCUAUUCAAAGUGGAGGAGGGGACCAAGCCUGUUACCAUAGCAACACAAAGGCACUGGUUAUCCAUUCAUCCACCCAACAAACGUCUACUGAGGACAUGUUUUGUGCCGGGCACUGUUUUAGGUGACAAAAACUCAAGGAUGAAUGAGAUAAAGUAGUUGCUUUGUGGAGCAUCUAUUCUAGUGGAGAAAAAAGACAUCAAACAACUGAAUAAAUAUAAACAUAAUAGAAGUCUAGACAGAGAUAAGGGCUAUGAAGAAAAUAAGGCAAGGAAAGCGGAGAGGGAAUGGCAUAUUUUACAUAGUGUGGCCACAGGGGCUUAUCUGAGGCUCUGCAAAGUGGUUAAUCUAAUUGUGUAAAGAAUUAUCUUAAACAUCCCAAGCCUAGACCCCACUCUCAGUGGACUGCUUUCUUCUUGUUCCCCUUCUCCCACAGGAUCUAAGGGUAGCCCAUGUCCCCAAACCCUCAGCUGCAGAAUGGAGGUAGACAAGGGACAUUUAGGCAGGGGAUGAGGAGUAGGUGAAGCUAGACCCUGGUGAGGGGAGCAAAGGGUUCAAGAGCUUGGGGGCCCAUGGAUAAAGGGUCAGUGGUUGUUCAUUGAUUACCUACUCAGUAUCCAUUUCUCUUCUCCCCACUUCCUACCAGCACUCAUAUUUGCCUUCUGGGUUUGGGUGGGAUGUCAAGGAGGUUCCUGACUGUCCUAACAAUCAGCAUCAUCUUAAUCCUUUUACCUCUGCGAUCAGUUCAGAUUGUGAAGUUCAAAGUGUGACACUUGAGUCUUCUGAUGGAUAGAGAAGUGAAGUUCUCUCCCCUCCUGGUGGAGACAGGUAACCCUGGGUCCAUCUUGUGACCUCCAUGGAAGCCAUCCUGAGGACAAAGCCAACACAUGGAAGAGCAGAGAAGUGGAGCCAGACUCCCAGUUGCUCUCGAAACACAUAGCAUUGGAUUUUCCCCUUUGUGAACCAAUUCAUUCAUUCAAAAACAUUUUGAGUGCUUAUUAUGUGCUAGAUAUUCUUCUACAUGUUUUGGGGGAAAAAAAAUCUCUGUCCAGUUUUUGUUGGCUUCUCUCUCUUUUUUUUUUAAAGAUUUUAUUUAUUUGACAGAGAGAGAGGCAGCGAGAGAGGGAACACAAGCAAGGGGAGUGUGAGAGGGAGAAGCAGGCCUCCCGCAGAGCAGGGAGCCCGAUGUGGGGCUCGAUCCCAGGACCCUGGGAUCAUGACCCGAGCCGAAGGCAGACGCCCAACGACUGAGCCACCCAGACGCCCCUGUUGGCUUCUCUUUUACUAGCAUGGGAGGAGUGGUGGGCUGAUGAUCACCAGAAUCAGUCUGCCUAGGUUUAAAUCCUGGCUCCACAACUCUGUGGCUGUGUGACAUCAGGCAAGUUACUAAACCUCUCUGUGCAUCAGUUUCCGCACACAAAAAGGGGAUAAUUCUACUGCCUACCUCAUAGGAUUGUUGUGAGGAUUAAAUGAGAGAAUGUGAAGGGUGUGGGACAAGACUGGGCAUGAGUAUGUGCUUGAUGCAGGGGCUCUGAUAUGCCACCCACGCUUUGGGAAUGCCUUAUUUCUCCCAGCCAUAGGGAGUGCUUUACAAGUAUUGCCCCAGGGGAAGAUGACCAUGUUGCCCCAAGGCCAGGGUCUCUUUCUGGGAACAGUCUACAUCCCACGACUGAUCUAUGAGGAACUAUAAGUGCUGGACCCCUUGCCUCAACUCAGGACCACUCUGAAAGGUCACACUGGUUCUGGAACUCUCCCUGGGGUUGAUGGACGUCUUUGUUGGGCUUCCAUCUCAGUUCAACUUCUCCCUCUGCCCAAUUCUGCUUCUUUUUUCUCCCUUUCUGUGGAUGUUAAUCCCAACAGCACAUCAUGCAUGCUGGUCUCUGAGUUUCUUCUCAGGAACACAACCUACUCAAUAAAUGUUCGCUGUUAUCCUCACCCUCAUCCUCAUCCAAAAGCAUCCUAAGUGAUAGAGAAAAGAAGAGAAAGUGUGUAAAGAGGUUUUCUUACUAACUGGGAAAGGGUGACCAUACGGGGCAGUGCAGAAUGGCUAGAAUGACCACACAUGUUUUGUGGAGCUGAAGGGUUGUUAUGUGGAGCAGGGGAAUCCUUCUCAAAUCCUCGUCUCCAGUUCUGGGUUGGACUUGGUGACUUGAACCUCAAGUAGAGCUCUGUGUAUGAGCUUGACUGGUCAACAGUAAGAGUUUUCUUUCUUUCUUUUUUUUUUUUUAGAUUUUUUUUUUUAGAUUUUUCUUUCUUAAUGGACUGUACCACCCUCUCCCCUCCAAUAUUAAGGGUGUAGUACAGGGUUACACUUUUACCUUGUUAUUCAAUUUCCUGCCACAGCUGUUUUGGGAAUCUGGCAAGCACUUUUCACAUACAAAAACUCAGUUUUUAGUGCUGUGAUGGGUGGACCAGUUGGAAAGGGAUGGAGGCUCCUGGUUUUAUAGUCACAUGGGGGCAGGAGUUUGCUUUCUUGAAUCUGGAGAGCUAUUGGGACACUGGUAUUCACAGGCUGAAUCUGGCAAAUGAAAACCAGGAUUUAGCACAUACCCUGCUCAUAGCUUUGCUGGAGGGGGAAGCUUGUUUCUGUCUUCUGGCUUUUUAAGCCAAGUGAUGGUGACGCAGGAAAGCAAACUGGCUGUGCUUUCUCUAAAAUGCUGAUGGAUUCAGCUGAAUCCCACAGCAUCAUUCAAGGGCCCACCACGGGCAAGCAUGGGGUGUGUGUGUGUGUGUGUGUGUGUGUGUGUGUGAGAGAGAGAGAGAGAGAGAGAGAGAAGUCAGGUCCCUACCAUGUGCAGGGGAGAUCAGCCAUGUUACCAAACAACACGUUCCCCAGUACAGUGGAUUUAGAACCAGACAGACCAGUUCUCAGAACUUGAGUUGAGUUCUAGUCCUGUUACUGAAGGUUGUGGUUUUAUAUUCGGGUUGACACAAAGCUCUGGAGACCAGUGGGUAGGAGGAGGUGGUAACUCAGGAAAAGGCAACUGUCUUGUUUGCCAGGUUAUUUAUGAAUAUUCAAUUUUGCUCUAGAAAAUGAGAUAAAUUAAGUAUAGAAGCAAGUAGCUUAUGAGAUUUUUUAGACACAGUAGAAUAAAGAGAACAUAUAUGGGUUGAAUAUAGAUCAAAUGAGAACGUUACUUGUAGACAAGGAGUAAGAAGACCAAGUAAACCUUAAAUAUUUAUAAGGCGUGGAUCAUGUCUUCUCUAGAUUGAAGCAACGUCACUCCUAUGUUGGCCACUCAGUGGUGACACCCCAAGAAACACAGAUAAAACCUGCAGCUGCUCAGGAGAUUCAUUGGGGUGCUGCAGUGUGAACAGGUGCCCUUGGCCCCGAGUCUUCCCCAUAGAGGCGGUUUGUGUGUGAACUUCAGGCCCCCCCUCCAGCCGGUUGCCUUGGCUCGCCCUCAAUGCUGACCUCUGCAGCCACACCAGCAGGAGAGAAAGCUGCUGUGGUGGAGAGAGAACAAGAGAUAGAAUGUUGUGUGACCCAGGAUUCAGCUAGGGUGAUCCUUCUACCUGCUGGCACUUAUCCUACGGGUGUUCACCUGUCCUGUCUCUUUGCCUUGCUUCUUUCCAGUGUGUGUUCUAACUUGAUUAAAUAAAUGCCGAGACUCAAGCAUCUUCAUUUGGCCCGUGAGCCUUUCUGUUCCAUGACCUCUGGCAUAGGCUGCCUGGAGGUGUCAGAAGCUACCAUUGCCUCCAGGAAACUUCACAAAUGACAUGGGAGUCGUAGCUCAGGCUUCCUGGAAGCAAAGCCCAAGACAUAAAUUUUUUUUUUUUUAAGAUUUUAUUUAUUUAUUUGACAGAGAGAGACACAGCGAGAGAGGGAACACCAGCAAGGGGAGUGGGAGAGGGAGAAGCAGGCUUCCCGCAGAGCAGGGAGCCCGAUGUGGGACUUGAUCCCAGGACCCUGGGAUCAUGACCUGAGCCGAAGGCAGACGCUUAACCGACUGAGCCACCCAGGCGCCCAAGACAUAAAUUUUUGUGCAAGUGAUUUAUGAGGGGGUUCUGUCUGGAGACAAAGUCUGUGAGGAAGUGAGAAAAACAGGAUGGGAGAAGGGAAGAGGCCACACAAAGAUGAGGUUCAGCUGAUGUGUAACCUCAGCCUGGUGCCAUGGAGAGCUGCAAAGCGUGGAUACUCUGCAGGUCUGACCUUCCUUGAGGCAAGAGGGCCGGUCUUUUGUACCUGGUGUUAGGGAAUGGAUGCGCCAGCCUAGGAAAGGAGGUCUGGCUGGGGCAUUGGCAGCAUCUGCUACGGGUGGUUGGUCUGAACUCCCCUCCCAGGUGGGUUACAGUGGUAAGGGAGGGAAGAGAGAACUUAGUAGGUUGGGAAAGUAGUGGGAGAAAGGACUGGAAAGGCACGAUGCCAUAUGACUUGGAAAGGUCUGAAGCCAGAGCAAGAAGUUAACACCUGAUUCCAUGGGCAGGAAGCCAUAGGGAGCCAUGGUGUGCUCUCGAGCAUAUGUGUGAUUGGAGCAAUGUCUAGGAAGAGAGCCGUAUGGCGGUGGUAUGUGUUGGGAGGAAGCUGCUGGCAAGGAGGGCAGCUGGGCCUGGUCUGGGCACUACUAUGGAUAGCUUCAAGCAUCUCUCUCCUCGGCAGCCUUUGGGCAGCUCUAUUCACUCAGAAGGCCUAGUUUCGCAGCCCUCUUCCUGGUCUCAAUCUUACCUGAUUCUCUUAAGAAUCAGCCUUGUCCUGAUGGAAAAGGGACUGGUACCACAUGCCCAGGAUCCCUAGGCCAGGCUGGGGUGGGCAGGGGUGGGGAAAGGUGCGUUGCUGAAGGGUCUCCCUUGGAGAAGAACACCUCCUAAAAAGCUCAGCACAGACUGAGGCUGGCUGCAGAGGGCUGGUUAAUGCUGGAGUCGUACACACUGAGCAGGCUCCAAGUGAGGUUACCUGCUCUCUAAGUAAUACAGAGCUUCUAAGCCUCUGGCUUUUGUGCAAGGCACUGUGGCCACCUGAUCAGCAGCAGGCUGAAGAUUCUUGGAUUCAGACCAAGCCAGCCUCCAAGCAAUGAUCCUUCCUUAGGGCAGAGGUUUUGACUGUCUAUCAAAACUUGAAGGGCAGUGGUUCCUAAACUCUAACAUGCAAAAAACACUACGUGGAGGGCUUGCUAAAAAGCACAGGUUUCUGGGCCUCACCUGCAGAGAUUCAGACUCAGCAGGUCUAGGGUGGGGGUGAGGAAUUUGCAUUUUAAAUAUGUACCCUUGUGACUGGGACCAGGCUGUGAAAGGGCCGUAAGUGGGGAGAGGGAAGAUCCAGCACUGAUGUACUCAGGAAACCCAGCAGCCCUGUGAAGUAGGUAAUAUUACUUUCUUUCUUUCUUUCUUUUUUUUUUUUUAAAGAUUUUAUUUAUUUAUUCGACAGGGAGAGACACAGCGAGAGAGGGAACUUCCACAAGCAGGGGGAGUGGGAGAGGGAGAAGCAGGCUCCCUGCGGAGCAGGGAGCCCGACGCGGGGCUCAAUCCCAGGACCCUGGGAUCAUGACCUGAGCCCAAGGCAGAUGCUUAAUGACUGAGCCACCCAGGCGCCCUAGGGUCUCGCCUGGUAUAAGUGAAUGUAUAGUCAUCACCGAAGCAAUGUCUGCUGAUGGACUCAGCCUACCUACCAGAAUAAAGGGUCUGUGGUCAGAGAGAACUUGAUACCAAUCCGGCGCUCAGCUCUCCUGUUUCAUUUGGACCUAGGCCAUGUUCUUCUUGGACCUGUCAUCACCCCCUUUUCUUAUUUCUCUGGGGUUACCUCCCCAGCCUGAUGGGAAGCAUCAGCUCUUCUCCAGGGGAGCCUGAAAUCCAUGACACUUCCAGGCAGCAGGCAGAAGACGCACUGCUGGAGAGGCCGGGCAGCCUGACUCUGACCCAGGCAACCCGUGAGGCCGAGGGCUCAGAUGAAUCCAACAUCCAGAAGCGGAGACAUUUCACAAGAGAGUCAGAAGACCCGGCCACCGUGGGCCUGCACUCAGGCAUGGCACAGCCCCUGGAGCUGAAAAGCUGGCCCUGUUUUAGCUCAGCUCUCCGACUGGCCACGGUCCUCACCCCUCCUGCAACAUUUGCUCUGGGGCCGUCUGAAAUAAAGCGCAUGCAUGCAUGCACGCUGGGUAGCUUCUCUCCUCACACUAGCUGUGGGACUUGAGCAAGUCUUGCAAGACGGACUUCCCAACGACCCCCCGAGUCCAUGAUGCCACCCCUUCAGUCCCUGGACACUGCUGUCCAGCCGGCCCAGGUGGGUCCUGACUUCGCAGCUGGAUCUGCCUUCCCAGGUGGGGAGAGCUGCGGGCAGCCAGUUGCAGCUGCACCUGCAUCCGUGUGGGGUCUCUACUCGGGAAGGAGGCAUACGUCAUGGUGAAGGUGUGAUGAGAUGCAGGAGGGCUCGGAGUCCUAGCGGGGCUUGGCCUCAGAACAACUACAAAUGAGAUUGGAGCCGUCAGAUGGGCGGUUGCCACUGAAAAGUCUUCCCUUUCCAAUCCUAAGGUCCUUGUUCUAGAACCAGGUGUCACAGCAACCGCCUGUGAAGUCAGCUGGGUUUGCUCAGCUUUGCAGGAAAAGCUACUUCUUCCUCCCGGGACUAUUAAGCUAGUGUACCUUUUAAAAGGUUUUAAACUUUUAUUGCUUCUUUGAAAUAAAGCAUUCCUCUCAUUCCAAAAUGAAAUGCAUUUCAAAUGGAUUUCCCAAGAUUUUCUAUAUUUUGAUUACAAAAAUAAUCCAUCCAUGGUUUUUAUAGAAAAAUUGGGGAAAUACAUAAAGGUGCAGAAGGAAAUGAAAGCCUCCUAUAAUCACUGUUAAUAUUUUUGGUUUAUGUCACUCUAGACUAUUUUCUGUAUACUCCGAUCAUUCAUAUAUAUAUAUGUGUGUGUGUGUUUGUGUGUAAAUAUGUAUUAUAUAUAGGUACAUGUAUUUUCCACAUAUGAUGUCAGAUUCUUAUUAUAUAUACUAUUUUAUAAUAUACAGCAUAAGGCUUGGAAAACAGUAGUCAAUAAAUAAAUAUUGCCACUGCUAAUAAAUAUCAUUUAUUUAAUGCCUAUCAUAUGCCAGGCAUGAUAUUAGGUGUCUUACAUACACUGUCCCACUUAGUCCUCAGAACGGUUCCAUGAUACAGAAACUAUCUUCCUCAUGUUUUAGAGAUGAGAAGCUUGGGGCACCUGGGUGGCUCAGUUGGUU